rnacentral:rRNA from 1 species
AUACGGAGGGUGCAAGCGUUACUCGGAAUCACUGGGCGUAAAGCGCGCGCAGGCGGUCUUUUAAGUUGGAUGUGAAAGCCUACGGCUCAACCGUAGAACUACAUCCAAAACUAUUAGACUAGAGUGUGGGAGAGGAAGAUGGAAUUAGUUGUGUAGGGGUAAAAUCCGUAGAGAUAACUAGGAAUACCAAAAGCGAAGGCAAUCUUCUGGAACACUACUGACGCUGAGGCGCGAAAGCGUGGGGAGCAAACAGGAUUAGAUACCCUGGUAGUCC